CAGAUGAUGAUCCCAAGCCUUCUAGCGGUCUGUGUUAGGAGCCGGCUCGUGGUUCUCAGAAAGCUUUUACUUAACUAUGGAGCUUUUGGCUAUUUGAGUAGGUUUUUAAAGAAGGUCUCUGCGAGAAGAGAGCUUUGGUUUUUAAGGGAGAUGCUCUUGAUUUUGAGAGUCCUUUUAUUUUUGAGUCCUUGGUUGAUCAAGAGAGCUUUAGUUCAUUUGAGAGGUUUUUUGAGACAGCCAGAUUGUGCCGAAGAAGACCUUCCGGUUUUGCAGAGGGCUUGUAGCUCAGUUGGUUAGAGCGCGCGCUUGAUAAGCGUGAGGUCGGAGGUUCAAGUCCUCCCAGGCCCACCAUUCAUAAUUUUAAUCCGUCUCUAGCGCCUUUUGACGGUCCAGGGAUGAUGUUAUUAGGUUAUGAGGUCUUAAUUAUGGUUAUGGGUGGCUAUAAGAGACUUGAGUGGCUAUAAGAGACUAUGGUCGGCCACUUAUAAAGUGUUUGUAAAGAGAUUUAUAAAAUAGAUUGUGAAUAGAUUAUGUCUCUUAUAGAGUGUCGAAAAAUAUGAGAGAGAACAGAGAUGUUUCGCUCUGUUUUUAGAGUUUGAGGCAUUAUUCCUUAAGGGGCCGUAGCUCAGCUGGGAGAGCACCUGCUUUGCAAGCAGGGGGUCGUCGGUUCGAUCCCGUCCGGCUCCACCAUUGAUCAUCAUCGUCGUUGAAAGAACAGAGUUUGCGGGAGGAUUUUGGUCCUCUUUGCUUGUUCUAUUGAAAUUGUGAAGAGAAGAUAUAUUCAGACAUCUUUGUUGAAAUUUGUCGGCCUUUAUCAAAAAGUUUUUGAUAUUGAGAUUUUUUGCUAUUGAAGGGUUCAUUGUGAUCAUCUUUAAUGAGUUGAGAAUGAUCGCACUGGCUGAAACUUAUGAAGAAAGAUGGUCGCACAG
rnacentral:tRNA from 1 species